rnacentral:rRNA from 1 species
ACAUAGCGGAACCGCAUGGUUCUGUUAUCAAAGAUUUUAUCGCUGAUAGAUGGGCUCGCGUCCGAUUAGAUAGUUGGUGGGGUAACGGCCUACCAAGUCGACGAUCGGUAGCCGGACUGAGAGGUCGAACGGCCACAUUGGGACUGAGACACGGCCCAGACUCCUACGGGAGGCAGCAGUGGGGGAUAUUGCACAAUGGGGGAAACCCUGAUGCAGCGACGCCGCGUGAGGGAAGACGGUCCUCUGGAUUGUAAACCUCUGUCUUCGGGGACGAAACGAGACGGUACCCGAGGAGGAAGCCACGGCUAACUACGUGCCAGCAGCCGCGGUAAUACGUAGGUGGCAAGCGUUGGUCCGGAAUUACUGGGUGUAAAGGGAGCG